CCAGACUCCUACGGGAGGCAGCAGUGGGGAAUAUUGCACAAUGGGCGAAAGCCUGAUGCAGCAACGCCGCGUGAAGGAAGAAGGGUUUCGGCUCGUAAACUUCUAUCAACAGGGACGAAAGAAAUGACGGUACCUGAAUAAGAAGCCCCGGCUAACUACGUGCCAGCAGCCGCGGUAAUACGUAGGGGGCAAGCGUUAUCCGGAUUUACUGGGUGUAAAGGGGGCGCAGACGGCGAUGCAAGCCAGGAGUGAAAGCCCGGGGCCCAACCCCGGGACUGCUCUUGGAACUGCGUGGCUGGAGUGCAGGAGGGGCAGGCGGAAUUCCUGGUGUAGCGGUGAAAUGCGUAGAUAUCAGGAGGAACACCAGUGGCGAAGGCGACUUUCUGGACGAUAACUGACGUUGAGGCACGAAAGUGUGGGGAGCAAACAGGAUUAGAUACCCUCGUAA
rnacentral:rRNA from 1 species